rnacentral:rRNA from 1 species
CAGCCGCCACGGUAAAACGGAGGGUGCAAGCGUUAUCCGGAUUUAUUGGGUUUAAAGGGUCCGUAGGCGGAUCUGUAAGUCAGUGGUGAAAUCUCACAGCUUAACUGUGAAACUGCCAUUGAUACUGCAGGUCUUGAGUAAAUUUGAAGUGGCUGGAAUAAGUAGUGUAGCGGUGAAAUGCAUAGAUAUUACUUAGAACACCAAUUGCGAAGGCAGGUCACUAAGAUUUAACUGACGCUGAUGGACGAAAGCGUGGGGAGCGAACAGGAUUAGAUACCCGCGUAGUCCCUGUCUCUUAUAC